rnacentral:misc_RNA from 1 species
UUAAAAAUUUGUUUUUUCCUCAGACUACAUGUACAAGAGUAUAUACACUCUGGCGGGCAUCGGCCAGGCCUAAACCCGCCAAAGCAACAGUGGUAUGGUAAUCAGGGUGGGAGAUGUACCCCGGAGGGCAGUUUCUCUCUAAUGAUCCUUCCGCAGGUUCACCUACGGAAA